rnacentral:rRNA from 1 species
CUGGUCCUACGGGGCGCAGCAGUAGGGAAUAUUGCUCAAUGGGGGAAACCCUGAAGCAGCAACGCCGCGCGGAGGAUGAAGGUUUUCGGAUUGUAAACUCCUUUUGUUAGAGAAGAUAAUGACGGUAUCUAACAAAUAAGCACCGGCUAACUCCGUGCCAGCAGCCGCGGUAAUACGGAGGGUGCAAGCGUUACUCGGAAUCACUGGGCGUAAAGAGCGCGUAGGCGGGAGAGCAAGUCAGAUGUGAAAUCCUAUGGCUUAACCAUAGAACUGCAUUUGAAACUGUUAUUCUAGAGUAUGGGAGG